UAUGUUGAUUAAUUAACGCGACAUUCCGGACCUGUGGUCGAUGCAGUAACGAACUCAUCCCUUCUCCCACCAUGGCCUGGCAGAGGAAAGCCUUCCUCGUCGGCGGCAGAGGGUUAAGAUCUCCUCCCAACUGCUGCUGCUUCUUCUUCUUCUUCCCAUUUUUAUCUCUCUUUGCUUGCUCCAAUUCUUGUUUGGGGUCGUUUGGUUUCCUAGGGUUCGCCCUCUAACUCUUAUUUUGUUUCUUUUGCGUUGAUCUUUUAAUGUGGGGAAAACGUCAUUGAUGAAUCGGCAUCCUUGAAAGUUUCUUGUGACUCUACUUUCAAUUCCUCUCUGCCACUUUGUUAAUUUGAUGAGCUGUUCCAGUAGCUACUUAGAUACGUUCUUUUCGUGUUGCUAGUAUCGUCGUGAGUGUUUUUGUUUCGAUUUUAAUUAUUUGGACCUGUUGUGAAACUGGAUGAGAUAUUCAAAACAUUUGAUUGUCUAUUCCUUUCUUGGCUUGAUUUGUUGAUCUCUGUUUUACAGUGUGGAUAUUGGUUAUGUUGCAAUCUUUUUGUUUUUUGAUGCAUCUGUCCUGUUCGAUCAGUUGCACUGGCUUGUUGGCACUUGGCCAGGGAAUAACAUUUUCUCUGUUUAGUAUUCCUUUGACGAUACCAUUAGAUUCGUACUCGAGGAGUUCACUGAGCAGUAUAAGGCUACAUCUAUUCCUGAUUAUGUCGAGAAGAUAAUUGAAGUCAGUGACAGACAUGUGACCUUUCAGGACUGGAAAGGUUUCAAAACUAUGGUCGUGCAUUAUAUAGAGGGGCCAACUGCUGCAUCUUGGUCUAUGAUGUCAAUGUUGGUAGAACGUUUAACACUCUUGAUGACUGGCAUGAUGAAGUUCUCAGGAAGGCUAGCCUACUAGAUCAGACAGACCUUUCAUUUUAAUUGGAAACAAGAUUGAUGUAGAUGGUAGAAAGAGUGGUAUAUUGGAUGCUCAAUUCAGUUCUUUAUAGAGAUUUGAUUAAUUUUGUUUUCCAAAUCUUCCAUUCUUCUGUUUGUUUGUUUUUUCCCUAAUAUCAUGCAGGUUUCCAUGAAGAGAGCUGAAGAAUGGUGUGCUUCCGGUGGCAAUAUACCUUACUUUGAAACCUUUGUAAAAGAUGAUUACAAUGUCGAUGCUGCUUUUCACCAUGUUGCUCAACUUGUUCUACAUUCUGAUCUGCCCAAGUCAGUAUUCUCAGUUACUAGUCUGCAUUUGUCAUAGUGGUGAACUUUGAUCUCAUCAUUAUUACUUCUUCUUGUUACAUGUUUUUUUGUUGAUUCACUAGAGUUUAUACUUUUUAGAAUACUUAUGAAAUCCUUUCUAAGAUUGAAUGUAACACCAUAAUUAGUCUUACAUCGAAACUGAUAACUUCAGCAUAAGCAUUUUGAGCUAACAGAUCAAUUAUCCCAUCAAGUCGGGUCGUUUUGACUCCGAUACCAAUUGUCAUGACCUAGCCUGAUAGGAUAACUAGUAUGUUAACUUCGUUGAGCUCAAACUACCGUAUCAAAAUGCUUAAGCUGAAGUUACUAGUAGUAUACUCAUCAGAUUUUUAUAAGUCAAUUUUAGUCAUAGCCCACUUUUGAUAUGGGACUAAUCGGGGUGUUAGAUUGAAUGUACUAGCCAUGCCACUUCUUCUUUAGCUAUACAUUGCUAAUUUCCUACAAUGUAAUGAUAGAUCCUUGUAUGUGGUGAGUGACUUUUGAUAGUUAACAAAGCUGGACCUGCAUAAGCCUAUGCAGCUUGUCUUGAAGACAUUAUGAAGACAGUCUGGAAUGUUAUCAAGGUGAGUACUUUAACAGAGACAAAUCAGUGUAAUGAAAGGAAUAAUACUUAAACAACUACAAAAAAAGUGAAAUCUGUUUAAGUACUUCAACAGAGACAAACAAACAUGGGAUGGACAUUGAUACUCAUUUUGGAACCUACUUGGGUAUAGAAUGAUCUUCUGUUACGAUAACAGCACUAUUUUUUGCGAAGUUUAUUGUUUUGCAAUUAUUGCUUGUGUUUCCAAUCUAAACCGGCUAUUGAAUCAAAUCUAAGUUUCUACAAGCUAUGAAUGCUUUGGAAAUGAGAUUUCUCACGAUGUUUAAUAUUGUAGAUACAAUCGAAGGCAUUUAGGCAUUAGAUGAUAUACACAUGAUUGCUAUGGGGUUGUCAUGCGAUUGAACUAGUGAUAAAUCAAUGACUUCCUUUUAGAGAAUUCUACAAGAAACUGAUAUAUUUUUCAUUGUUAUUCUGGUAGACUGUAUAUCCUGAUGUCCUAUCCAAUCUACAUAUCCUGAGAUGUACUUCUAAAUAGUUGUUCAGCUUAAUGUUUGUUUCAGAAGAUAGUCUGUCUGAAUAUUUAUUAAAUAGUCUCUUAUUUAUUUAUUGAUCUUCCAUAAACUACCAUCUUCCUUUUUAAGCUUGAUCAUUUUCUGAUGCUCACCAUUGUUUUAUAGCAUCUUUACAUAUUUGCCACUCGAAACUUUCAAAAUAUGAUAUUAUGCAUCACAGAUUUUCAAAUACAUAGUGGCAUUAUAAAAUCAUUGUUUGGUCAUCUAUAUUAUCGGGUUGAGUGGCAAAUAUGCUUGGAAUAUUUGUUUGGUGGAUGUAAAUGUUAACUAAUGAUAUAAAUUAGGUUGGACUGUAACCAAUAAUAUAUCUAGAACAUGUACCUCAUAAAGCUGGAACUAAUAUUUGAAGUAUUUCUAUUUAUGUAUAUGAUAAAUGUGAACAAAAGGUAUAAAAGGAAGUCAUUGACAGUUAAAAAAUGACAUAUGUGAUCAAAUAUUAAUUUUUUAGUGGGUGAAUUUAUGUAUUUUUAAAGAAUGUGAUAAUAAAUAUUGUAGUAUGAAAAUUUUGAGCAGACAAUAUGUAAAAGAAGCGUAUUCUAUUUUGCUCAAAGUAUCUUAGGAAAAUCCAGAAGCAUUGGAGGAUGUUUUUUCCAUGUGAUGAUGAACUAAAUAAUGUUGCCAAAUGCCAGAUUCAAAAGCUAAUAUUUUCCCUGAUUUUGAGCACAAUUUGACUGUUUCAUAAAUCUUAAUCUAUCGGCAGAACAAUUCCAGAUCCUGCUUCACAUUCAGAGCAAAGCAGUUGUUUUUACUAGGGUGAGCUGCUGCAGAUUCAGCUUUAACUAACAUCUUGCUCUGCUGAUUAAUUGGGAUCUUGAUACUUCAUUCAUGAUUUUGGCCAUUUGCAUUGGCUGCUAUGCCCAUAUGAAUACUAUAUGCUGCGUCUAGUUUGUGAUACAUGCUUCCUUGGCUCUUGUACAAUGUCUUUUGCAAGAUCUAUAGGGAAAGCCACCUGCCACAAAAGACAACUGGGAGCCGCCAAUAGAACAAAUCCAUUUCUUGUUUAUUAAAUUGCAUACCUUUUCUGUUUGGCAGUAACAUGAGUGACACUAAACCAGUAAAAAUUUAUAAAAUAGUUCUGUAUAAUCCUAUAGAAUUUCAUUAUGAUCAGGCAAGAAACUAAUAUAUGAUGUGGAAAUAUUCAGCGAGUUUCACAGAACCAUAAAUAUUAGACAACCAGAAUUUUCUUGAUUAUUUCAGGGAAAAUUUUGUCCUCAAUAUUUAUAGAAAAAAUAACAUUGUCUAAUUGAAUCUCAUAAAUAAUUUAAGAAAUCGAUAAUAAAUUGGUCCCUUUGGCAACUUAUAUUGUUCUUCAUCAGGUAAAAUCCAUCAUAACGAAUCUUCACCUCAGUUUUGUUACUAAAUGUACAGCUAAUUUACAGAUUCACCAGUUUUCCUUGUCUUAAUAGACUGAUGAAUUCCUGAUAUAUGUUGUUAAACAGUUGCAUAGUUCUGCACCUGAAAACUGUAUGAGUACAUGAUGUAGCUCACUGUUCUUAGAGAUGGCUCCUACUGGAAAGACUUAUAAGCUUCCGAGCUGUGAUAGUUAUUCUGAGGGUUUACAGUUGAAAAUCAAAUUGCCAUGUCGUUGGCAACAAUUCUUCUGCAUUUACUCAGAUUCCAGUUUCAUCAUUUCCAGAAAUUCCAUCAUGCAAAACUAAAACUCUAACCAUGCAUCAUUUAUCCAUGCCUUGUAACUGACAUUUUAUUUAAUUUGAAGAUUUGUGCACCUUUUUUCUUAUCCUUUUAUUCUUUCAAGAAUUUAUCUUAUGAUUUAUGCUUAAAGGAGAUUGGACCAAAUGGCGAUCCUUUUUCAAUGUACUUAUAAGGUUUUUCUGGUAGUCAUAUAAUGAACCCAUUUAUUUGGCAUCUGAAAUCUAAACUUCACCCCUUUGAAGGAAUAAUUGUGGUUUUGUUAGAUAUCUUGGAUAUAUCGAUUAUGCGGCAAUCUUCUUCGGCGUCAUAGGCAAGGUGGACAUUGUAGUAGUAGUUCCAUCAGCAGGUUCGGCAACAGCUGCAAGAGUGGAAGCAAGUGGUAUUGGAGCUCUUGGAGAAGCAGCAACCCAUGGCUGGUGGCAGAAAAGUCGAUGACUCAUCCCAGACCGUUCGAUCCAGAUGAUCCGAACUCAUCAACCCUUCGGAUUCAAUCCCCGAUCAUCAACCGUUGCGUACAUCGUGCACGGCCCUGAUCGCCCGUGACGACUUAAAGCGUGGGCGGGCUUAUGGUGUUACUAAUUGUUAGGAAAGAAUAAAGAAAAAGCAUAGAACAAGUAUAGUUAGUUGAUCAGUUAACUAACGUAACAGAACCCCAAGCAGCUGCUAUAAAAUGGAUUGCCCCCCUUCGCUUUGGUUUCUUUCUUUGUUUUGUUUUGUUGUGUGUGGUGAUUGCUUUCCGGUCGAUCCCUUCUCCCGUCAUGGCCUCCGGCAGCGACACCACGCUCAAGAUCAUCAUCCUCGGCAACAGAGGUGUGGGCAAAACGUCAUUGAUCAAUCGGUAUCCUUGACAGUUUCCUGCGGGGCGCUAGAUUCAAUUCCUUCUGCCAGCUUACUUGCUUGUGCAGGCAAUGUGGAACCGAAGGAGGUCAAUUUUGGUGACUCAUAAAGUGUAAUUAUUCCCUUGUUGGAGUGGUCUAUCAUGAUCUCUGUUUCAAAGUGUUGAGGGCGUGAGUUGCCGGUAUACUCUGUAUAUAAUAGUUUUGCUGGUUGGCAUGGGGACAGUGUUCAAUCUCUGUUUAGUGGUUUAUUGACCUCACCAUUAGAUAUGUGCACAAGAAGUUCCACGAGCAGUAUGUGGCCACUUAUGGUGCUCUUUUUGUUACCAAGGAAAUUCUAAUUGGUGACGCACCUGUGACCUUACAGGUACUUUCUUUUGUAGAUCUGGGAUACUGCAGGACAGGACAGGUUUCAAAGUUUUUGUACCCCAUUCUAUAGAUUGGCCGACUGCUGCAUUUUGCUCUAUGAUGUCAAUGUUGGAAAGUCAUUUGACACUCUUGAUUCCUGGCAUGAUGCACUUUUUAACCAGGUAUGUUGCUUCAAUCUUAGUAUGUUUGAAGAAACCAACAUUACUCCAAUAUGUUGCUCAUCCCACCAAAAAUUGGCUUCAAGAUAUUUGGAGAUCUUUUCAAAAAUUUGCUUUCCAUUAUAAAGCAUGACAACCCUAAUUUGUGCAAUUAUGCUCUUUGCCAGCGGGGGGAUUUUUUGAGGUGGUUGAUAGCAGGUCCAUAAAGAACAUGAGAAAUUUGUUACUCGGUUUUAUGUUUUUACUUAUUAUUUUUUGCUUUCAAUACUACAUGUCUUCUGAUAGUUGGUAAGGGUGCAUAAAGAACAAAUCAAAACAUCUCUUUUUUUGUUUGUUUGGACAUUGUUCUGUUGCAUCAAAUUUAUUUUGGAAAAUUUGACGCAUAAAGACUACCUGCUUAUGCUUUCACAAAGAACAUUUUAUCUAUUUGCUAUUUUAAAUACUUUAACAGUUUAUUUUGGACACACAUUUUACCGUUUUAUAAUACUGCUCUGCUUUACCUACUAUACUAAUAAGUUAGUAAAGUAACUUUGGAGAACAUUGACCAGAUCAUUCUUUAUAUGGUUCUUAGUUGUCUCAUUUUUUUUCGUUUUCCCAUGUUUUAGUGUAUUAUGAGGAUUACAUGUUUAUUUGACUCAUUGGCUUGGCAUUUGAGCAUUUUUUCAUUUGGUUUCGUGUGUUUCCAGUAUGACAUCUGCCAAAAUAAAUGUUAUACAAAAGCUUUUGGAAAUUGCAAUCUACAAUAUGUAGAAGGCAAUUUUCUUCCCAAAGAUUGUAAGAGGUAAAUUGGGGUGAUUCUUUGUUGCUACUUGUUAGAUGAUACGUUGGGCGCUGGCUUGAAAUGAUUAUUUUUGCUUGUUCCUCAUGACAAUACUUCUUCAAGUGUUGAAAUGAGUUUCUUUGGUUCAGAGGUGCCAGAUUCUGGAACAUUCAUGUACCAUAUCUUUUAGUUUUUACCACCCUCUGGUCAGUGAUAGACAAUAUUGAACGAAUAGGAUGCCUCUUUUUCACUUUCUCUACAGGUGCACUCUGUAGCAGAUACAACCUAUAGAGCAAAAGUAACCAUUACCAUUCUGAACAGAUAUGGGAAAUUAAUGGUCCUUAGGGAAAAUGAUAAUGACUGACAAUUUAGACCUUACUUCACCUCAUCAGAUUGUUUAAAGAUCACAAGAAUCACUAGAUGUGAAUUAUUUAGAGGAUCUGAUUCUUCCACAGCUGGCACACGUGUGCAAUUUAGAUGCUCACUCUGUGGUUGAAAUGGGAAUUAAAAAAAUUCGAGAAACUAAAAUCUGGUGAGGCUAGGGUGUCUCAUUUCUCAAACGGCAUGCAGAACAAAAUCUUGGAUUGUGUGCUUGCUUUGUGUUUUUGAAUGACAAACUUUCAUACUUUUUGGUUUCAUUGAAGUUUUAGCUUUUAAGCUUCUUUUAUUUUAACAUGAAAGGAGUGAAAUUGUUAAAAGUGGAACCGCGAGUUUGUGGCUUCUGAAUCUUCUCUACUAAACAUGCGGACAUAUGUACCAGAUGAAUCCGCAGGAUAGACCACUAGAUCUCCCAAAACUUCCACUCAUUUUACUUGGGAACAAAGUUGACGUUGACCGUGGCAAAAGGAGGGUGGUUAGCAUUAAGAGAGCAGAAGCUUGGUGUGCAUCCAAAGGCCAUAUACCUUACUUUGAAACCUCCGCUAAAGUCAAUUUCAAUGUCGAUUCUGUUUUUGUCCAUGCUGCUCAAUUUGCUCUGAAUCCUGAUCUGGGCAUCACCCUUCGAGAACCCGCUUCAGACAGAGCAAGGAAGUAGAUGUGCUUGUUAGGUUGAGCUGCUGCAGAUUCAGGACUUCAUAGUGGCUUGAUCUGUUGAUUGAUCGGGAUCUCGCAUGAUUCGUUCAUGAAUUCAGGUCUUCAGCAAGAUC